UGUUGUUGUAGUUAAAAAGCUCGUAGUUGGCUCUGG
rnacentral:rRNA from 18 species